GGCCUGUUAGCUCAGCUGGUUAGAGCGUGGUGCUAAUAAUGGCAAGGUCGUGGGUUCGAUCCCCACAUGGGCCA
rnacentral:tRNA from 1 species